rnacentral:rRNA from 1 species
AUGAUUAAAGAUAGCUUGCUAUUUUUAUGAAGAGCGGCGAACGGGUGAGUAACGCGUGGGAAAUCUGCCGAGUAGCGGGGGACAACGUUUGGAAACGAACGCUAAUACCGCAUAACAAUGAGAAUCGCAUGAUUCUUAUUUAAAAGAAGCAAUUGCUUCACUACUUGAUGAUCCCGCGUUGUAUUAGCUAGUUGGUAGUGUAAAGGACUACCAAGGCGAUGAUACAUAGCCGACCUGAGAGGGUGAUCGGCCACACUGGGACUGAGACACGGCCCAGACUCCUACGGGAGGCAGCAGUAGGGAAUCUUCGGCAAUGGGGGCAACCCUGACCGAGCAACGCCGCGUGAGUGAAGAAGGUUUUCGGAUCGUAAAACUCUGUUGUUAGAGAAGAACGUUAAGUAG